CCGAUGAUAGCUCAGCUGGUAGAGCAUGGGACUGUAGUUGUACCUGUUAUCCUGUGGUCGGCGGUUCGAUUCCGUCUCAUCGGA
rfam:Naegleria gruberi genomic scaffold NAEGRscaffold_53, whole genome shotgun sequence.